AUUCACUCCCCGGGUCUCCCCCUCCUCUCUCUCUCUUUUGCUCUCUCUCUCUGUCUCUCUUUUGCUCUCUCUCUCCUUCCUCCCUCCUCCCCUCCUCUUUCAGCUCCUUCUGCUAUAAGAGAAAAGGGAGACAACUGCAGCCACACCCUAGCACCUAGCACCUGCCACCACCUCUGAAGUUCCUGCAUUGCCUGUACCUUCUCCGCACAUGCUGGAGACUGUGGGGUUAAGAGCUGCACCCUUGCUGCCUGAGAGUCCCUUGGAUUCCAGCACUGACUUUAUAAUUAACCACGUUAAGGAUUCCCCUGAACUUCCUUUCUCAGUAUAACCAGGAACAGAAGUUAAGAGAUUUUGAAAAGUGACUCUUGGGGCACAAAACUGCAUGAGAGACAGAACCCUGCAAAGUGAAUUGCCCCGUAUUUCUCAGGAACUGCAACGUAGUCAGCAACCAGACCCUAAUCAGCUAAGACAGGGCUGCUCUGCUGCUCUGUCUACAAUUUAGUUAGCUCCAGGGCUGGGGAGAGAGGGUUGUGGGCUCAUCUGUUCACGGGGGCAAAAGGGUGGAAGUGAGUAGGAGACAUGCAUCUCGUUAAGCAGGACAUCUGUUUCAGAGAAGAAGUGGGGCAAGUUUGGGAACUGUGCAAGAACAUAAAGGCAAAGACAGACCCUUGAAGCAUCACUAAGAAUGAUUGCUUAUUGUACAUGGAUCCAAUUCCAGCAGUUACAGAGAGGGAGGUAGGGAGAGAGACAAACACAGAGCUAGAGAAAUUGAAAGAGAAACAUUCUCGAAGGCAAAGAGUUGAAAGGUGAAUCUACUAAGAAAAGAAUAACAGAGUGCAAUUAGCCAUGGAACUACAUCUCCAUCUGCCUCCUUUAAAGGAUGAGUCCUUUAAAGAGCCUUUGGAAGGAAUUGGGCCAUGAGAAGAGCCCUCAUGAAUGGGAUUAGUUCCCUUAUAAGAAGAGACACCAAGGAAGUGAUCUUUCUCUGCCCUCUGCUAUGUGAAGACAAGGUAAGAAGACAGCUAUGAACCAAGAAGCAGGCCCUUACCAGACACCAAAUCUGCUGGUGCAUUGAUCUUGGACUUCUCAGCCUCCAGGACUGUGAGAAAUAAAUGUUUAUUGUUGAAGCCACCCAGUCUACAGUAAUUUGUUAUAGCAGCUGAAAUUGACUAAGACAAUUUAAAAAAAUUAAUCUCAUUGACUAUCAAUUUGGAUUCUGGAGCAUACCUGGAUUCAGGUCAUCUGCAGUUUUUUGUUGUUGUUGAUGAUCUUCCUGUCAUAGACAAUGCUGUAACAAACAGACUAGAGAUAAUAAGCUCACUUUACCUCAGGACCUUUGCAGCAGCUCUGCCCUGUGCUUAGAUUGAUCUGUCACGAAACCUUAAAGUCUGGCUGAUUCUCAUUCUUCAGAUU
rnacentral:lncRNA from 1 species